GACGAACGCUGGCGGCGUGCUUAACACAUGCAAGUCGAACGGAAAGGCCCUGCUUUUGUGGGGUGCUCGAGUGGCGAACGGGUGAGUAACACGUGAGUAACCUGCCCUUGACUUUGGGAUAACUUCAGGAAACUGGGGCUAAUACCGGAUAGGAGCUCCUGCUGCAUGGUGGGGGUUGGAAAGUUUCGGCGGUUGGGGAUGGACUCGCGGCUUAUCAGCUUGUUGGUGGGGUAGUGGCUUACCAAGGCUUUGACGGGUAGCCGGCCUGAGAGGGUGACCGGCCACAUUGGGACUGAGAUAAGGCCCAGACUCCUACGGGAGGCAGCAGUGGGGAAUAUUGCACAAUGGGCGGAAGGCUGAUGCAGCAACGCCGCGUGCGGGAUGACGGCAUUCGGGUUGUAAACCGCUUUCGCCUGUGACGAAGCGUGAGUGACGGUAAUGGGUAAAGAAGCACCGGCUAACUACGUG
rnacentral:rRNA from 1 species